UUGACGACAAUGGCAAGAUAGUAAAGAAAGAUGAGUUUAUUCCAUUCUCUCUGGGUCGAAGAGUGUGUCUGGGCGAGUCCAUGGCCCGGAUGGAGUUGUUCCUCUUCCUGACCACCAUGAUCCAGAGGUUCAAGUUUGUCCCGGUGGAUGGUCAGAUGCCUUCUUCGAAUGGAAUCAUCGGCUUAAGCCAUUCUCCAAGACCAUUCAUCAUGAAAGCCAUUUCCAGAGUUUAAUCAUUUUAUGUGAGUGAGUGGGUAGCAACUAUCCAGCAAGAUACUGAGGGUGUUUAACUAUAAAUGAUCCUGAGAUU